rnacentral:rRNA from 1 species
UACGAAGGGGGCUAGCGUUGCUCGGAAUCACUGGGCGUAAAGCGCACGUAGGCGGCUUUUUAAGUCAGGGGUGAAAUCCUGGAGCUCAACUCCAGAACUGCCUUUGAUACUGGGAAGCUUGAGUCCGGGAGAGGUGAGUGGAACUGCGAGUGUAGAGGUGAAAUUCGUAGAUAUUCGCAAGAACACCAGUGGCGAAGGCGGCUCACUGGCUCGGUACUGACGCUGAGGUGCGAAAGCGUGGGGAGCAAACAGG